GGUGUACAUAACCGCGUUCUGUCUAGAGUCGCGUAUGUCUCCACGGGAAAUGACGUGAAUGAUUGCUUUUCACGAUAUUAUUUCGUUACACGAACCACUGAUCACUAUGCACGAAAUGCAUCAAAAUUUUUAUAGAUUCUACCGCUAGAUAUCGUAUCGUUCGCGAACGAAAGUUUCGAUUACGUCAACUCGCAAGUUAUCGACUCUCGGCUAAUCUCAACCUAUGACAACUUCAGAUGGAUUCGAUUAAUCUUCGAUAUUUAAUGCUGAUAGCAAGACAUGGAAACUAAUUAAAAUUCCGAACAAUAAGUAAGGAUCGCUGUUGAUUCGUGGCAUGCACCUGUGGAGCGAGGCGAAAUGCAC